rnacentral:rRNA from 1 species
UACGUAGGGGGCGAGCGUUGUCCGGAUUCAUUGGGCGUAAAGAGCUCGUAGGCGGUUCGGUAAGUCGGGUGUGAAAUCUCCGUGCUCAACACGGAGCGGCCACCUGAUACUGCCGUGACUCGAGUCCGGUAGGGGAGUGUGGAAUUCCCGGUGUAGCGGUGAAAUGCGCAGAUAUCAGGAGGAACACCGAUGGCGAAGGCAGGUCUCUGGGCCGAUACUGACGCUGAGGAGCGAAAGCGUGGGGAGCGAACAGG